rnacentral:rRNA from 1 species
AACGAACGCUGGCGGCAUGCCUAACACAUGCAAGUCGAACGAGACCUUCGGGUCUAGUGGCGCACGGGUGCGUAACGCGUUGGAACCUGCCCUUAGGUUCGGAAUAACUCCCCGAAAGGGGUGCUAAUACCGGAUAAUGUCUUCGGACCAAAGAUUUAUCGCCUUUGGAUGGGCCCGCGUUGGAUUAGCUAGUUGGUAGGGUAAAAGCCUACCAAGGCGACGAUCCAUAGCUGGGCUGAGAGGAUGAUCAGCCACACUGGGACUGAGACACGGCCCAGAAUCCUACGGGAGGCGGCAGUGGGGAAUAAUGGACAAAGGGAGAAAGACUGAUACAGCAAAGCAGCGUGAAUGAUGAAGGCGUUAGGGUUGUAAAGCAAUUUUACCAGGGAUGAUAAUGACAGUACCGGGAGAAUAAGAUCCGGCUAACUCCGUG